GAUCAUGCUCAGGAUGAACGCUAGCUACAGGCUUAACACAUGCAAGUCGAGGGGCAGCAUGGUCUUAGCUUGCUAAGGCCGAUGGCGACCGGCGCACGGGUGAGUAACACGUAUCCAACCUGCCGUCUACUCUUGGACAGCCUUCUGAAAGGAAGAUUAAUACAAGAUGGCAUCAUGAGUUCACAUGUUCACAUGAUUAAAGGUAUUCCGGUAGACAAUGGGGA
rnacentral:rRNA from 1 species